GUUCGGAGUGAGGGUAGCACGUUGAGCUGAAGGCUGUGCGGAGCGGCGCGGCACAGAGCCUGGUGUUGAGCUCAGUAUGUCGUGGGAAUCCGGGGCCGGGCCAGGUCUGGGUUCCCAGGGGAUGGAUCUCGUGUGGAGUGCGUGGUACGGAAAGUGCGUUAAAGGGAAAGGGUCACUGCCACUCUCGGCCCACGGCAUCGUGGUCGCCUGGCUCAGCAGGGCCGAGUGGGACCAGGUGACGGUUUAUCUGUUCUGUGACGACCAUAAGUUGCAGCGGUACGCGCUUAACCGCAUCACGGUGUGGAGGAGCAGGUCAGGCAACGAACUCCCUCUGGCAGUGGCUUCUACUGCUGACCUGAUACGCUGUAAGCUCUUGGAUGUAACUGGUGGCUUGGGCACUGAUGAACUUAGACUGCUGUAUGGCAUGGCAUUGGUCAGGUUUGUGAAUCUUAUCUCAGAGAGGAAGACAAAGUUUGCCAAGGUCCCCCUCAAGUGUCUGGCUCAAGAGGUAAACAUUCCAGAUUGGAUUGUUGACCUUCGCCAUGAGUUGACCCACAAGAAAAUGCCCCAUAUAAAUGACUGCCGCAGAGGCUGCUACUUUGUCCUCGAUUGGCUCCAGAAGACCUAUUGGUGCCGCCAACUGGAGAACAGCCUGAGAGAGACCUGGGAGUUGGAGGAGUUCAGGGAAGGGAUAGAGGAAGAGGAUCAAGAGGAAGAUAAGAACAUUAUUGUUGAUGACAUCACAGAAGAGAAACCAGAGCCUCAGGAUGAUGGGAAAAGUACGGAGUCAGAUGUAAAGGCCGAUGGAGACAGCAAAGGCAGUGAAGAGGUGGAUUCUCAUUGCAAAAAGGCCCUGAGUCAUAAAGAGCUAUAUGAAAGAGCCCGAGAACUGCUGGUAUCAUACGAAGAGGAGCAGUUUACGGUGCUGGAGAAAUUUAGGUAUUUACCUAAGGCCAUUAAGGCGUGGAAUAACCCGUCCCCACGUGUAGAAUGUGUCCUGGCAGAGCUCAAGGGCGUUACAUGCGAGAACAGGGAGGCUGUGCUGGAUGCUUUUUUGGAUGAUGGCUUCCUUGUCCCCACAUUUGAACAGUUGGCAGCUUUGCAGAUAGAAUAUGAAGAUGGUCAGACUGAGGUCCAGAGAGGGGAAGGUACUGACCCAAAGUCACACAAAAACGUGGACUUGAAUGACGUCCUGGUGCCAAAGCCGUUCUCUCAGUUCUGGCAGCCCCUGCUCAGGGGCCUGCACUCCCAGAACUUCACGCAGGCCCUAUUGGAGAGGAUGCUCUCUGAACUGCCAGCCUUGGGGAUCAGCGGGAUCCGGCCUACGUACAUCCUCAGAUGGACCGUUGAACUGAUCGUGGCCAACACCAAGACUGGACGGAAUGCUCGCCGAUUUUCUGCAGGCCAGUGGGAAGCAAGAAGAGGCUGGAGGCUGUUCAACUGCUCCGCCUCCCUUGACUGGCCCCGGAUGGUUGAGUCCUGCUUGGGCUCACCUUGCUGGGCCAGCCCCCAACUCCUUCGGAUCCCAGGUAGCUGAGCUCUGCUGGAGAAAACCACAUAGCCCUGCGGAUUGCUGCCACUGCAGAGCUUCCUCGAGCACAUGGAGGCAUCCGGCAGGGCCCCCUCGACCUGAGGUCCAGCCCUCGUGAACUGAUCUGCGGCUGCACUCAACCUUCUCGCCAGUCUCAGGAUGAGGUGGCCUUGCCCCACCUCAAAGCCUGCUCCUCCACCUGUGCUCUGGAGCCACCUCUGCCAGCAUCGCUGGGGCCUCACCCCAGCCUCUACCUUGCUCUGCUGGCUCUUGCUCUUCAACCUAGGAACGUGCCUGAGCUUUUCUCAUCUUAAACAAAACAACAAUAACAGCAACACAAGCAAAAUCUCCUUUGACCCUGCAUCCCUCUGUUGGGUUAUCAUCAGCUUAUCAUUCCCACCCUUCCCAUCAAAACAUCUCAAGAGUAGUCUACACUCAACACUCUCCAUUUCCUCACUACCCUCUUACUCCUCAACCUGCUGCAAUUUGACAUUCACCCCCAGAGUUGCUUUGACCUCCUAAUUACCAAAUCAGUGGGCCCUUGUCAGUCUCUGUGUCUGCUGCAUUGAUGCUGUUUACCACCCCCUCCUCGAAAAAUGCCUGUGCUUAUUACUAGUUCCUAUAAAGUGCUGAGACCCAAAUCUGUCUAGCCCUGGCCCCUCCCCCAAGAUUCAGCCUCGUGUACUCGACUGCAUGUCAGACAUCUCCCCUUGGAUGGCCCACAGGCACCUUACUGUGACCAAAAGAGAAUUGGUCGUCUCAGUCCCCAUCUCAACUCUAAAGUGAUCUUCCUCCUCUGUUCCCUAUCUCACUUGGUGGCGGCACCAUCUACCCUGUCCUGUUGACUCUCGAAUACUUCCCAAAUCUGAGGUUUUGUGUUGCCGUGUCUACUCCCCUUAGUGUCUCCUUCCCUCUAUCAGACUAAGCUUUUCAAGGGCAAGGACUCUACAUCAGCUGUCUGUGCCCCAGCACACCAAACAGGCCUCAGUAAAUGUCAUUGAAUUGAACCAUGCUCUGCUCUCUCAUUCCCAGCAGUGCUGUCCUUGGUGGGAGCUGACCCAGUGCCUGGGGAAUGAAUGAAGUGGGAGUCUGGAUGCCAAGACCCUCUUAGUCCCUGAUCCCUCUAUUGAGUCCAAAAGUCUUUCUUUAAACCUGAUGGCAUUUGGGACACAGAGGUAUUUGUAAGGUUUUAAAAGUGGCUUUGUAGACAAAGUCAGUCAAGGCAAGACUUCCAGGAGUUGGAACUGAACAGCCACAUUGCCAGAUGUGUGCUUCAGACUAGAAGUGAUGUGGAUGGGUGGGAAAUUGGGAGGAGAACCAAAAGGGCCUGGAUGAGUCAGAGUUUUGAGAAGAGGCAUUUGAAUAAUUCAAGCAGGAGAAAGAAUAAAACAAGUUUCAAAGUCCAGAAGGAACAUGGCAUGUGUAUGUAAUGGGAGGGAGGGAGUGACAAGAGCAGCAUGGAGAGGUUUGGAUAGGUGGCCUUCAAGGUACUUUCCAAUCCUAAGUGCCUGCAGAGUGGAAGCUGCUGGUCUCGGAGAAGUCUGGACCACAGAGAUCUUCUCCCAACCCAAGCAUACCAGAGGGAUGCGACACAUGCCAGCAGUAACAGCGGCUCACUUGGGUACGAUUCCUUGUGCACAGAUCCUGCCUUUCCCAGAUAAGCAGUGAAUCUAGUCCUAAUCACCCCGUUACACAGAGUGGGGAACAGAGGGGGUUUGCCCAGGUAUUAUGCUGCAAGUCAGAGCUGGGGCCAGAAUCCAGAUAGCCUGUCCUUAGUCCCAUGCUCUUCUGUAAUACUCCACUAGAUUGUAUUAUUGCAGAAAGCAUCUGUUAAACGCAGUUUUGUUUUCCCCAGAGAAAAAAAUAAAAGAUACUAUUGGAAAUUAA